GUCAUCUAGUUCCAUUAUAUUCAAGACAAGGCAGACAUCUCUAUCGCCAAUAUCUCCAAAACUCGGCAACUCACACUAAAACACUCUAGAUGAAUAAAUAACACUGCAGGAAGCUGAGCAGGUCUCUGUUCUCCAGCUCUUCCACAACUGUAACCAGAGGAGCCCGAAGUGAGACCACACCAAGAAGCUCUGGCAGGAAGGGAUGUGGUCCCAGCUGGGACAGGAAGGAUGCAAAGCCCAGGAAGCUGUGUCUUUCUGUGGCAUCAGCAGAGUCUGUAAAGGGCAAGAAUGAGAGGGAGGACUCGUAGCACCACGUUCCUGUUUUCCAUACGGGCCCUGUAGAGGGACACAGAGGAGUCGGAGCGCAGGGAGAAGGCAACAGGCAGAGGGGUGACCAGGUUGAAGGACUCGGGCAGCCUCUGACGGGGCAAUUCUCUGGGCUGGACAAUGGGGGUGAAAGUGGGUUUGAAGGGCUGCGCUGGGGGGCUGGGCGGAAGAGAAGGCGUGACCACAGACAUGGAGAGGUUUUUGGAGGGUGUCUUACCAUCAAUGCCUUGCAGCGCUCUCCUGGUAGCCAACUUUGAGGCCUGUGGACGGAUGCGAUCGACUUUCUCCGGACAAAAGCGCAGCAAGAAAAUGAAGACCAGAGUGACCAGGAAGCUGGCCAGCAGAAAGAUGGGCACAAUGAUCACCUCCUGCUCAUACACUCGGAUCUCUGCAAACAAGAUCAGACACAAUCUUUGUAAUCACUCAGCAAGUCUGAGAUACAAGGUGGCAGAUGUCGUCUGUUCAUCUGUCAACUUAAGUGACAAGCCUCUAAUGGCCAGACCAGGUUAGUGGCCAAAAUCUUCAAGUUCUGUCUGCUGAUAAAACUUACCACAGAUAGUAUCUCCAUGGUUGCAGUGGAAGUCUGCUUCUGAAAAUGAAGACAUCCUAUCGAAUGUAAAAAGAGAUGAGAAUGAAUAAAUGCUGCUCAGAAUAUCUUAAUCACAUUUGUCCAUUCCUCAUACAACGAUCACACAGUCAAACUUCGGAUUCAGUACGUUUCUAGUAUUUCCACAUGCUUACAGUUGUCAUGUAUAAGCUUCAGGAUAUUUUCUAUUUACAAAAACAAUUUAAGUCUUUGCUGAGGAUAUAGAAAUAGAUGUAGAUGAAUAAAAAACAACAGAUAAAGUGACAGUGGUAGUCCUGAAACCCAUUUUGUCUCUAGGGCUGAAUCUGUGAAUAGUAACAUGACUCUUGCCGGUCUCCAGUAUGAGAAGGUGUCUGUGCGAACAUGUAACUGAGACCAGGAUGUUGUAACACUGUCUCUGAGGUCUCUGUCUCAGAAUAAAAACUCACCGACUUAUAACAUAUCGAUCCCUUUGGUCUUACAGCACAGACCUCUUACAUUGGUCUAUCUUAAGAUAAAGUAAUACUAUAUGUACGGUGGCCCUGAGGUCAAAACAUUUCAUUUCAUUUGUGUUUUGUGAAAUGUUCUUUUGUGCAAUGUUGUUUUGUGAAAUAACACGUUUUGUGAAAUGUCACAUUUUUUUAAAAUGUUGUUUUGUGAAAUGUUGUUGUGUUUUAUGAAAUGUUGUCAUGUUUUGUGAAAUGUUGUUGUGUUGUGACUCUCAGGGCCACCGUAUAUAUGAGCUAGUUUAACCACAACACACAACGUUCACCAAAGCUGCAUACUUUUUUAAAAAAAGUAUCAUCUCUAAACUGAGGAGUCUUUAUUAUAUUUUAUAUCUGAAUUCAGAGCUGCUUUAAAGACACUGCAGCCACACAGAGAAACUCUUCAACCACAUGAUCAUGUGUUUAUGUCAGAUUCAAGAUCUCUAAACCUGUUCAUCUGCAUUUUUGACACAUAAAUGCUAGUGCUGUACUGCACACCCAAAGGGCAAACAGAAAUGGCAAAAUAGCACCGGCUCAUUCGCACAAAGAAAAUGUCAUGAUCAUCACAGCAAGACGGUACCCAGUGUGAAAUACACGCUUUCAUUAGAUUAAUAUCAUGCAUUAGCUCUCUCUACCUCAGAGCUACAUUAACAAUACAUUACAUGACUUUUAAAAAAGUGUAAUAAAGACAUGCAGUGUAUAAAAUCCUUA